GCAGCCUGAUCCAGCCAUGCCGCGUGGGUGAAGAAGGCCUUCGGGUUGUAAAGCCCUUUUGUUGGGAAAGAAAAGCAGUCGGUUAAUACCCGAUUGUUCUGACGGUACCCAAAGAAUAAGCACCGGCUAACUUCGUGCCAGCAGCCGCGGUAAUACGAAGGGUGCAAGCGUUACUCGGAAUUACUGGGCGUAAAGCGUGCGUAGGUGGUUGUUUAAGUCCGUUGUGAAAGCCCUGGGCUCAACCUGGGAAUUGCAGUGGAUACUGGGCAACUAGAGUGUGGUAGAGGAUGGCGGAAUUCCCGGUGUAGCAGUGAAAUGCGUAGAGAUCGGGAGGAACAUCUGUGGCGAAGGCGGCCAUCUGGACCAACACUGACACUGAGGCACGAAAGCGUGGGGAGCAAACAGGAUUAGAUACCCUGGUAGUCCACGCCCUAAACGAUGCGAACUGGAUGUUGGGUGCAACUUGGCACGCAGUAUCGAAGCUAACGCGUUAAGUUCGCCGCCUGGGGAGUACGGUCGCAAGACUGAAACUCAAAGGAAUUGACGGGGGCCCGCACAAGCGGUGGAGUAUGUGGUUUAAUUCGAUGCAACGCGAAGAACCUUACCUGGUCUUGACAUCCACGGAACUUUCCAGA
rnacentral:rRNA from 1 species